CCUACGGGAGGCAGCAGUGGGGAAUAUUGCACAAUGGGGGAAACCCUGAUGCAGCGACGCCGCGUGAAGGAAGAAGUAUUUCGGUAUGUAAACUUCUAUCAGCAGGGAAGAAGCAAGUGACGGUAGCUAAGGAAUAAGCAUCGGCUAACUACGUGCCAGCAGCCGCGGUAAUACGUAGGAUGCGAGCGUUAUCCGGAAUUACUGGGUGUAAAGGGAGCGCAGGCGGGACUGCAAGUUGGAUGUGAAAUACCGCAGCUUAACUGCGGAGCUGCAUCCAAAACUGUAGUUCUUGAGUGGAGUAGAGG
rnacentral:rRNA from 1 species